rnacentral:rRNA from 1 species
UACAGAGGUCUCAAGCGUUGUUCGGAUUCAUUGGGCGUAAAGGGUGCGUAGGCGGCGCGGUAAGUCGGGUGUGAAAUCUCGGAGCUUAACUCCGAAACUGCAUUCGAUACUGCCGUGCUUGAGGACUGGAGAGGAGACUGGAAUUUACGGUGUAGCGGUGAAAUGCGUAGAUAUCGUAAGGAACACCAGUGGCGAAGGCGGGUCUCUGGACAGUUCCUGACGCUGAGGCACGAAGGUCAGGGGAGCAAACGGG